CUCAAUGUCUGGGUCCCAGGGUCCACCUUCAUGUUCCACCAAUGAGUUUGUUCACAGGGAGUGGAGUGUGUGUGUGUGUGUGGGGGAUGUCCUGAUGUGUGUAAGGAAUGCAUUGUGUGAAUCUGUGUAAGGGCUGCAAGAUGAGUUUGUGUAUGUAUGGGAUGCAGUGUGUGCGUCUGUAAGGGAUGCAUUGAGUGUGUGUAAGGGGUGCAUUGUGUGUUGCUGUGUGUAAGGGAUGCAUUGCUUGUGUACGUGUAUCUGUGUGUAAUGCAUUGUGUGUUUUUC